rnacentral:rRNA from 1 species
GAUCAUGGCUCAGGAUGAACGCUGGCGGCGUGCCUAACACAUGCAAGUCGAACGGUAACAGGAAGAAGCUUGCUUCUUGCUGACGAGUGGCGGACGGGUGAGUAAUGUCUGGGAAACUGCCUGAUGGAAGGGGAUAACUACUGGAAACGGUAGCUAAUACCGCAUAACGUCACAAGACCAAAAAGGGGGACCUUCGGGCCUCUUGCCAUCGGAUGUGCCCAGAUGGGAUUAGCUAGUAGGUGGGGUAACGGCUCACCUAGGCGACGAUCCCUAGCUGGUCUGAGAGGAUGACCAGCCACACUGGAACUGAGACACGGUCCAGACUCCUACGGGAGGCAGCAGUGGGGAAUAUUGCACAAUGGGCGCAAGCCUGAUGCAGCCAUGCCGCGUGUAUGAAGAAGGCCUUCGGGUUGUAAAGUACUUUCAGCGGGGAGGAAGGGAGUAAAGUUAAUACCUUUGCUCAUUGACGUUACCCGCAGAAGAAGCACCGGCUAACUCCGUG